GCGAACGGACGAGAAGCUUGCUUCUCUGAUGUUAGCGGCGGACGGGUGAGUAACACGUGGGUAACCUACCUAUAAGACUGGGAUAACUUCGGGAAACCGGAGCUAAUACCGGAUAAUAUUUUGAACCGCAUGGUUCAAAAGUAAAAGACGGUCUUGCUGUCACUUAUAGAUGGAUCCGCGCUGCAUUAGCUAGUUGGUAAGGUAACGGCUUACCAAGGCAACGAUGCAUAGCCGACCUGAGAGGGUGAUCGGCCACACUGGAACUGAGACACGGUCCAGACUCCUACGGGAGGCAGCAGUAGGGAAUCUUCCGCAAUGGGCGAAAGCCUGACGGAGCAACGCCGCGUGAGUGAUGAAGGUCUUCGGAUCGUAAAACUCUGUUAUUAGGGAAGAACAUAUGUGUAAGUAACUGUGCACAUCUUGACGGUACCUAAUCAGAAAGCCACGGCUAACUACGUGCCAGCAGCCGCGGUAAUACGUAGGUGGCAAGCGUUAUCCGGAAUUAUUGGGCGUAAAGCGCGCGUAGGCGGUUUUUUAAGUCUGAUGUGAAAGCCCACGGCUCAACCGUGGAGGGUCAUUGGAAACUGGAAAACUUGAGUGCAGAAGAGGAAAGUGGAAUUCCAUGUGUAGCGGUGAAAUGCGCAGAGAUAUGGAGGAACACCAGUGGCGAAGGCGACUUUCUGGUCUGUAACUGACGCUGAUGUGCGAAAGCGUGGGGAUCAAACAGGA
rnacentral:rRNA from 1 species